rnacentral:rRNA from 1 species
UACGGAGGAGGCAAGCGUUAUCCGGAAUUAUUGGGCGUAAAGCGUCCGCAGGUGGCUAUUCAAGUCUGCGGUCAAAGACUGGGGCUUAACCCUGGAAAGGCCGUGGAAACUGAAGCGCUAGAGUGCGGUAGGGGUAGAGGGAAUUCCCGGUGUAGCGGUGAAAUGCGUAGAGAUCGGGAAGAACAUCGGUGGCGAAAGCGCUCUACUGGACCGCAACUGACACUCAGGGACGAAAGCUAGGGGAGCGAAUGGG